CAGUUGUGUUACGGGGUCUGUCUUACCUGGGCUUGUCAUGAACUUCAUCAGUUACUUCAAAUCUUUUUCUUAUCCUCUCCACUUGACGUUUGGAUACAUUGAAGAUGUAUGCCACCUCAGCAGCAGACUUGGUCUUCAGGACACCUUGGUCUGUGGUUGAAUCUUUGGCAUAUUGUGAGAGGUCAGGUUGCACUUCACAUGAAGGUCUGUUGUUGUCCUGGUCGAGAAAUGUAAAUGUCAAUUUAAGUAUUCUGAGCCUGUUUUGUUAGGCUGUUGUGCAUCAUUGUUGGUGCGAGAGUGUCGCCUAGUGGCGAAAAUGGGUAGUGCAUUUUGUGACGUUACUGUUGUUAACUAGUGGAUGAGUCUAGUUCCCACCAUAGACUGUAUGGUUCCCACACGUGUCAAAUGGUGAAAUACUGCUGUACGGCUGUUCUAUAGGCUACAUGUCGGAUCCUUGGAGUAGUACGUCCUUUUACAAAAAAGAAAACUGCUUGGAACGAACUCUUCAAUAAAUCUCCAACUUAAGAAGACGUCAAA